rnacentral:rRNA from 1 species
AGAGUUUGAUCAUGGCUCAGGACGAACGCUGGCGGCGUGCUUAACACAUGCAAGUCGAACGGUGACGGAGGAGCUUGCUCCUCCUGAUCAGUGGCGAACGGGUGAGUAACACGUGAGCAAUCUGCCCCUGACUCUGGGAUAACCUCGGGAAACCGAAGCUAAUACCGGAUACGAAGCGCGAAGGCAUCUUCAGCGCUUGGAGAGAAUUUCGGUCAGGGAUGAGCUCGCGGCCUAUCAGUUAGUUGGUGAGGUAACGGCUCACCAAGACGACGACGGGUAGCCGGCCUGAGAGGGUGACCGGCCACACUGGGACUGAGACACGGCCCAGACUCCUACGGGAGGCAGCAGUGGGGAAUAUUGCACAAUGGGCGCAAGCCUGAUGCAGCAACGCCGCGUGAGGGAUGACGGCCUUCGGGUUGUAAACCUCUUUUAGCAGGGAAGAAGCGAAAGUGACGGUACCUGCAGAAAAAGCACCGGCUAACUACGUGCCAGCAGCCGCGGUAAUACGUAGGGUGCAAGCGUUGUCCGGAAUUAUUGGGCGUAAAGAGCUCGUAGGCGGUUUGUCGCGUCUGCUGUGAAAACGCGAGGCUCAACCUCGCGCCUGCAGUGGGUACGGGCAAACUAGAGUGCGGUAGGGGAGAUUGGAAUUCCUGGUGUAGCGGUGGAAUGCGCAGAUAUCAGGAGGAACACCGAUGGCGAAGGCAGAUCUCUGGGCCGUAACUGACGCUGAGGAGCGAAAGCAUGGGGAGCGAACAGGAUUAGAUACCCUAGUAGUCC